rnacentral:RNase_P_RNA from 1 species
GCGGAUGGCCGGAUGACCGCGUGUGUGGCGUCGUCCCGCAAGGGAAACCGCCAUGCGCGAGGAAAGUCCGGACUCCAUGAGGCAAGGGUGCCGGGUAACGCCCGGCUGGGGUAACCCAAGGGAAAGCGCCACAGAGAAGAAACUGCUCUGCUUGCAGAGUAAUGGUGAAACGGUGGGGUAAGAGCCCACCGCGGACGUGGCAACACGGACGGCAUGGCAAGCCCCACCCGGAGCAAUGCCGAAUAGGGACCUCACGCGGUUGCUUUCGGGCAAGAGCAGGGACGCAUCAGCCCCGAGGUCCGGGUUGGCAGCUAGACCGCACUGGUGACAGUGGGGGCAGAGGAAUGGUCAUCGAAGGGGGGAAACCCCUGGAACAGAAUCCGGCUUACAGGCCAUCCGCGCAA